rnacentral:rRNA from 1 species
GACGAACGCUGGCGGCGUGCUUAACACAUGCAAGUCGAACGAUGAAGCCGGAGCUUGCUCCGGUGGAUUAGUGGCGAACGGGUGAGUAACACGUGAGCAGUCUGCCCUUGACUCUGGGAUAACUGCGGGAAACUGUAGCUAAUACCGGAUACGACACCUUGGGGCAUCCCAGGGUGUGGAAAGAAUUUCGGUCGAGGAUGAGCUCGCGGCCUAUCAGCUAGUUGGUGAGGUAAUGGCUCACCAAGGCGACGACGGGUAGCCGGCCUGAGAGGGUGACCGGCCACACUGGAACUGAGACACGGUCCAGACUCCUACGGGAGGCAGCAGUGGGGAAUAUUGCACAAUGGGCGAAAGCCUGAUGCAGCAACGCCGCGUGAGGGAUGAAGGCCUUCGGGUUGUAAACCUCUUUUAGCAGGGAAGGAGCGAAAGUGACGGUACCUGCAGAAAAAGCACCGGCUAACUACGUGCCAGCAGCCGCGGUAA